AAUUGGAGUUCGAUUCCACUUAACACCCAAGGGCAAAUGUUCAACGAAUUUAAGAAAUAUUAUCUAUGGGCUCCCGAACACGAGGAUGACGUUCAAGUGAACUUCAAGCUUAAAGCUUCAAAGUUGCUUUCUAGCACAUUUUGUGACUGUCGGAAAAAAACAGAAUGCCUAAGUUUAUGUUACCGGAUCGAUGGGCUCUGUUACUAAAACGCUAGAGUACUGAUGAAAAAUUUAAUAAGAGGAGUGAGAUUGGGAAGAUGACUCGCGCAUCAGAAAAGGGAGGCUCUUUGCACACUGGUGGAGCUAUUAACCAGGUUACUAGGAAGGAAAGAAUGGAAAAAGAGUUGGGUAGGCCGGUAGCUGUAGCAGAGAUGUUCAAGGUUACUCACGUCAAGAAGAGUAUGAACCCCACAGAAGAAGAAAG